CCGCCUACGGGAGGCAGCAGUGGGGGAUAUUGCAAAAUGGGGGAAACCCUGAUGCAGCGACGCCGCGUGAGCGAUGAAGUAUUUCGGUAUGUAAAGCUCUAUCAGCAGGGAAGAAAAUGACGGUACCUGACUAAGAAGCCCCGGCUAACUACGUGCCAGCAGCCGCGGUAAUACGUAGGGGGCACGCGUUAUCCGGAUUUACUGGGUGUAAAGGGAGCGUAGACGGUUGUGCAAGUCUGAAGUGAAAGCCCGCGGCUCAACUGCGGAAC
rnacentral:rRNA from 1 species